rnacentral:rRNA from 1 species
AGAGUUUGAUCAUGGCUCAGGAUGAACGCUAGCGGCAGGCUUAAUACAUGCAAGUCGAACGGGAUCCGAGGUAGCAAUACUUUGGUGAGAGUGGCGCACGGGUGCGUAACGCGUAUGCAACCUACCUUUAACAGGGGAAUAGCCCCGAGAAAUCGGGAUUAAUACUCCGUAACAUUGCGGGAUGGCAUCAUUCUGCAAUUAAAGAUUUAUCGGUUAAAGAUGGGCAUGCGUGACAUUAGCUUGUUGGUGAGGUAACGGCUCACCAAGGCAACGAUGUCUAGGGGUCCUGAGAGGGUUAUCCCCCACACUGGUACUGAGACACGGACCAGACUCCUACGGGAGGCAGCAGUAAGGAAUAUUGGUCAAUGGGCGCAAGCCUGAACCAGCCAUGCCGCGUGCAGGAAGACGGCCCUAUGGGUUGUAAACUGCUUUUGUCAGGGAAUAAACCUGUCUACGUGUAGACAGCUGAAGGUACCUGAAGAAUAAGCAUCGGCUAACUCCGUG